rnacentral:rRNA from 1 species
UACAGAGGGGGCAAGCGUUGUUCGGAAUUACUGGGCGUAAAGGGCGCGUAGGCGGCCUUCUAAGUCGAACGUGAAAUCCCUGGGCUCAACCCAGGAACUGCGUCCGAUACUGGAAGGCUUGAAUCCGGGAGAGGGAUGCGGAAUUCCAGGUGUAGCGGUGAAAUGCGUAGAUAUCUGGAGGAACACCGGUGGCGAAGGCGGCAUCCUGGACCAAUUCUGACGCUGAGUGAGCGAAAGCCAGGGGAGCAAACGGG